rnacentral:rRNA from 1 species
UACAGAGGUCUCAAGCGUUGUUCGGAUUCAUUGGGCGUAAAGGGUGCGUAGGCGGCUCGGUAAGUCGGGUGUGAAAGCCCCGGGCUCAACCUGGGAAUUGCAUUCGAGACUGCGUAGCUAGGGUGCGGAAGAGGGAAGCGGAAUUUCCGGUGUAGCGGUGAAAUGCGUAGAUAUCGGAAGGAACACCAGUGGCGAAAGCGGCUUCCUGGUCCAGCACCGACGUUCAGGCACGAAAGCGUGGGGAGCAAACAGG